GUGGGGAAUAUUGGACAAUGGGCGAAAGCCUGAUCCAGCCAUGCCGCGUGUGUGAAGAAGGUCUUCGGAUUGUAAAGCACUUUAAGUUGGGAGGAAGGGCAGUAAGUUAAUACCUUGCUGUUUUGACGUUACCGACAGAAUAAGCACCGGCUAACUUCGUGCCAGCAGCCGCGGUAAUACGAAGGGUGCAAGCGUUAAUCGGAAUUACUGGGCGUAAAGCGCGCGUAGGUGGUUUUGUAAGUUUGAUGUGAAAUCCCCGGGCUCAACCUGGGAACUGCAUUCAAAACUGAAUGAAUAGAGUACGGGAGAGGGUAGUGGAAUUUCCUGUGUAGCGGUGAAAUGCGUAGAUAUAGGAAGGAACACCAGUGGCGAAGGCGACUACCUGGACUGAUACUGACACUGAGGUGCGAAAGCGUGGGGAGCAAACAGGAUUAGAAACCCGGGUAGUCC
rnacentral:rRNA from 1 species